GCAGAAUGCCGCGAGUGCGCCCUGGUUAGGUUGGAGUCCCUUGGCCAUCAACCUUUUCACCCGGUAGAGCUGGUUGCCUGUCGGGAUGCCAGGAUACGCAGUUAAUUACUAUACGGUGACUGAGGUGCUACUUAUGGCUUGCCACUAUGCACAGAUAUUUUUUACUGUCAGUGGCAUUCAACAGCCCAGCAUUUAGACAUUGUAUAACCGCGUAUUGACAAUCUCCUUUUUUUUUUUUGAGACGCAGUAUCGCUCUGUCGCCCAGGCUGGAGUGCAGUGGCGCGAUCUUGGCUCAGUGCAACCUCGGCCUGCCGGAUUCAAGCAAUUCUCCUGCCUCAGGCUCCCGAGGAGCUGGGACUAUGGGCGCGCGCCACCACACCGACUAAUUUUUUGUAUUUUUGGUAGAGACUGGGUUUCACCUUGUUAGCCAGGAUGAUCCCGAUUUCCUGACCUCGUGAUCUGCCUCCCUCGGCCUCCCAAAGUGCUAGGAUUACAGGCGUGAGCUACCGUACCUAGCCAACAAUCUCCUUUUUUUUUUUUUUUUUUUUUUUUUUUUUUGAGAGGGAGUUUCGUUCUGUCUCCAGGCUGGAGUGCAGUGGCGCGGUUUCGGCUCACUGCAACCUCCGCCUCCCGGGUUCAAGCGAUUCUUCUGCCCCAGCCUCCUUAGUAGCUGGGACUACAGGCGCGCGCCACCGCGCCCAGCUAAUUUUUGUAUUUUCAGUAGAAACGGGGUUUCACCAUAUUGGCCAGGAUGGUCUCGAUCUCCUGAACUCGUGAUCCGCCCGCCCCAGCCUCCCAAAGUGAUGGGAUUACAGGCGUGAGCCACCGUGCCCGGCCAACAAUCUCCAUUUUUAAGCAAGAGACUGAAAGCCUACCUGGUCCCAUUGCCUGACUCAGACUAUUUAGACCACUACCAAACAGGGCCAGGGGCGGUGGCCAUAAUCCCAUUAUUUUGGGAUGCCGAGGUGGGCGGAUGACCUGAGGUCAGGAGUUUGAGACCAGCCUGGCCAACAUGGUGAAACCCCGUCUCUACUAAAAAUACGAAAAUUAGCUGGGUAUGGUGGCGUGCACCUGUAGUCCCGGCUACUCGGGAGGCUGAGGCAGGAAAAUUGCUUGAACCCAGGAGGCAGAGGGUGCACUGAGUCGAGAUCGCACCACUGCACUCUAUCUUGGGCGGCAGAGCGAGACUUCAUCUCAAGGGAAAAAAAAAGACUGGUCGGGUACGGUGUCUCACACCUGUAAUCCCAGCACUUUGGGAGGCCGAGGCAGGUGGAUCACGAGGUCAGAGGUUCGAGACCAGGCUGGCCAAGAUGGUGAAACCCCGUCUCUACUAAAAAUACAAAAAUUAGCCAGGCGUGGUGUCACGCGCCUGUAAUACCAGCUGCUGGGAAGCUGAGACAGGAGAAUCACUUGAACCCGGGAGGUGGAAAUUGCAGUAAGCCAAGAUGGCAGCACUGCACUCCAGCCUGGGCGACAGAGCAAGACUCCGUCUCAAAAACAAAACAAAAAAAA
rnacentral:lncRNA from 10 species